GGACAACCAAGGGGACAACCAAUGGGGGAACCAAUGGGGGAGGGGGGAGAGGUACUUUUAUACAACAUUACAAUGCUGGAGUCAUCAUAGGUGGAAGGGUUGGAGUCACCUUGGCUGUAGUCAUAGCAACAGUCCGCCUGGUACUGUAGUGUAAAAAGAGAGAAGGUAAAAAGCUGCUUUGUGACUGCGUCAACUCUACAACGUAUUUCUUCAGGAAACUAAAAGGAACCUGGAAGUAACUCUGAGAGACAGAUGCACUGGAACAGAAGCACAUCUGGAGCGUCUGAUAAAAAAUGUAUAAUGUAUAAUUGAUGUAUAAUAUCAUGUAUAAGAUGGUGGAUUUUUAAUAGUUUUGAUCAAUAAACAGGUUGUGAGUGUGUUCUAGAAAUCCAGCCUGGUGAAUAAUCUGCACUGCUCGUUUCUGUGAUGUGACUAAUGGAUUAAUUGUGCAUUAGUAACUGUUCCCCCACACGUCAACACAAUAGGUGAAGUAUGUUAGUACUGAGGAGCAGUAUAAAGUGUAUUGUUUCACUUUAUUUGUAAUUGCAAGACUUUUGGAGAUUUGAUGACAAAUGAUGAGGACAGAAGUUCAAACAAAGGGUAUUGACAAAAUAAAACAGGAAACACACGACAAGACACAGACAGACAUCAAGACAGAAACAAGAGUCACGACAGACAGGAAGUUACGACACUAAACAAAAUAAAACAGGGAACUCAAAACCAUGAUCACAAAAUAAAACACAGAACCAUGACAACCUGACACUAAAUGAGUUCAGUGACCAGCUGAUGGUCCAUGUGUCAUCUGUGUUUAAAGUCUGGAAACAUCAUUUCUGAAACUCAGCUGAGAUGUUUCCUUAAUCUGUGGAUUCUUGUAAUGUGGAAGUGAAGUUUUGUGUGAGUAUUUAUGCGUCCAGAGUGCGACCUUUUAGACAAUUUCCACCACAGUAAAGACACUAAGAGAUUUAUUUUUUAUGUUUUUAUUCAGGAUCUUUGGUGUUUUACUUUUGUUCUGUUUAAACCCCAGUUUACUCAGUUUACUGUGUGGUUUUACUUUUACUUUAUCUGUAAAAUAAGUAUUUUUUUUUCUCUUGAGCUCUGACAACAAAUGAUCUGUGUUUCCAGUUUGUGUCCAGCAGGGGGCGCUGUUUCCUCCUCAUUCAUUCAGUCUGUUAAACAUUUCAGUGUUCACAUAGGACACUACAGUUUUAGUACAACUCAUUAUUAAUCCUUUCACCUUUCAACACAGUUUUCUGUGUAGAUAUAUUUUUUUAUAAAAACAUUUUUAGUCUCAGGAACCUUUGAAGUGUUUUUACCUUUAGAAAUCUGCUCACUGCUCUUCCUCCAUGUCUUUAAAUAACAGCUCUGAUGAUUAAAUGUCAAACUUUUGUUCCAGAUCAGCAGCACAAAGAACGAAUGUCAAAAUAAAGUUGUGGAGUUUUUACUCAUCAA